rnacentral:tRNA from 1 species
CCCUUCGUAGUGUAACUGUAGCGCACUCGGGUCAUAUUCGAGAGGUCCAGGUUCGAGUCCCGGAGAAGGAA